UAAGCUCAAUUACUAAAAUUUAUUACACGAGUAAAAGUUAUACUGACAUAACAAACACAAGUAAACUUAAAAUUUAAUUACCCUUGUAACUAUUACACCCCAUUACCCUUGUACCAAACGUACCAUAAGAGUGAACAGACCUUAAAUAGGCUAUUUGACAAAUAGUUAUUCGGAUGACUAGAAGUAGAACUUCGGCUACCGAACUCUGAUUUCAGUGGCUAUGGAAACUAGACGUCUUAAGCUUCGCCUGGAUGCUAAGUUUACUCGAUUUGGUUCAGAAAUGAAAAAGCUACGAAGCAUGUGAAGUUGAGUCACGAAACUGGAAAUUCCAGCUCAAUGCAUUUGGACCAAGUUCAGAGCCCAUUUGAAGCCCAUUUUGCCAAGCCGAUUUCGGGGGCAUUCUUGUCAUUCUCCACACAUAUUUUGCUUAACCUAAAGAAGACCAUUCAAGAGCAAGAGUGUCGGCAAUAACACAAACCCAGCAGCUUGGAAUAGGAAGUGAAGAAAACCAAAGAAGAAAAGAAAGCAUCCGUGGAGGAGAUUUGGAGAAGAAGUGAAGAAAUUUACUUGUUUCCUCCUCAACUCCUACAAAGGGACGUCCUCGUCGUAAUCGGAGUGGAUCAUAGGAAACUCAAUCUCCUGAAUGAUCUAGAUCGCCUGUCGACCAAGUUGAAAUUGAAGAAGAGGAGGGCGAAAAAGUUAGAACUAUCAUGGAGUGAAGUUGGUGGUCGAAACAACAAUGCUACAAGAACAAUAAAGGAUUUUUCUAUGCCUCAAUUUUCUUCUAGACAAUUUGCAUAGUUUAUCCUGAUAUUACUACAAAUUCUUCCUACGAAAUCAAGGGGUAUAUUAUUAAUAUGCUUCCUACUUUUUCAGGUGCAAAAAAUCAGGAUGCUAGUGAGCAUAUUGAUAAUUUUUUGGAGAUUUGUGGGACUCAGAAAAUCCAAGGAGUCUCGAAGGAAUUUAUCUGUCUCAAGCUACUCCCUUUUUCUCUAAAGGGUGAUGCAAAGAUAUGGUUCAAAA